AUGGCUAAUAAUAGAACAUAAGGGUCAAAAGCAGUUUUUGGCUUAUAUCUCAAAAACUAAAUCUUUUAGAGCAAAUGUGACAGGGGUAAAAUUGUUUAAUUGGUCAAAAUCUAUCGGCCCUGAAAUUAUCAGACGAAUCGAACAACCCAUUGUUGGGUUGCUGCCACCGAAUUGGUAGUUUUAACAAAAUUUUGCAGUUUUUAUACGACCGCAAAAAAAUUUUGUGGUCGUAUAUUGGUAUGACAUUGGCGUCGUCGUCGUCCAAAGACACAUUGGUUUUCGCACUCUAACUUUAGUUUAAGUGAAUGGAUCUUUUUGAAAUUUGACCAUAAGGUUAAAUACCACAAAAGGAAGGUUGGGAUUGAUUUUAUGGGUUUUGGUACCAACAGUUAAGGAAUUAGGGGCCAAAAAGGGGCCAAAAAUAAGCAUUUUCUAGUUUCCAGACAAUAACUGUGGAACGGUGUAUGGAUCUCUCUGAAAUUAUACUACAAGUUUCCAUACCACAAAGGGAUGGUUAGGAUUUGCUUUGGGGGGUUAUGGCUCAAACCGUUUAGGAAUUAGGGGCAAAAAAGGGGGAAAAACAAGGUUGUCCUGGUUAAUGGACAAAUACUUUAGUACAAAACAUAAUUUAAAGCAGUGUAAGGGAGAUAAAUCAAAUACAUCAUUGAAAUUAUCUCCCUUACACUGCUUUUAAAUUAUGUAUAAAGUAAUGGUUAAUGAACAAUAAAGAUAAUUUAAAACAGUGUAAGGGAGGUAAUCCAAAUACAACGUUUUGGUUACUUCCCUUACACUGCUUUUAAAUUAUGUUUAAAGAAAUGCAUAUUUAUAAAGGAAGACCAGUAAAAAUAUCUGCAAAUGUUGCAUCUUUUUUUUUUACAAAAAAAUCCAUAUGAAGGUCCAAAGGGUCCAAAAUUAAACUUUGUUUGAUUUUAGCAAAAAUUGAAUAUAUGAGGUUCUUUGAUAUGCUGAAUCUAAACAUGUAUUUAGAUUUUUGACUAUGGGCCCAGUUUUCAAGUUGGUCCAAGUUGGGGUCCAAAAUUAAACUUUUUUUGAUUUCAACAAAAAUUGAAUAUAUGGGGUUCUUUGAUAUGCUGAAUCUAACCAUGAAUUUAGAUUUUUUAUUUGUGGGCCCCGCUAUCAAAUUGGUUCAUAUUGAGGUCAAAAGGGUCCAAAAUUAAACUUUGUUUGAUUUCAUCAAAAAUUGAAUUAUUGGGGUUCUUUGAUAUUCCAAAUCUAACCGUGUAUUUAGAUUUUUAAUUUUAAGUCCCGUUUUUUAAAUUGGUCUACAUUAAGGUCCAAAGGGUCCAAAAUUAAACUUAGUUUGAUUUUAGCAAAAAUUGAAUUCUUGGGGUUCUUUGAUAUGCUGAAUCUAAACAUGUAUUUAGAUUUUUGAUUAUGGGCCCAGUUUUCAAGUUGGUCCAAAUUGGGGUCCAAAAUUAAACUUUGUUUGAUUUCAACAAAAAUUGAAUAUAUGAGGUUCAUUGAUAUGCUGAAUCUAACCAUGUAUUUAGAUUUUUUAUUUGUAGGCCCUGCUAUCAAAUUGGUUCAUAUUGAGGUCAAAAGGGUCCAAAAUUAAACUUUGUAUGAUUUCAUCAGAAAUUGAAUUAUUGGGGUUCUUUACUAUGCCAAAUCUAACCGUGUUUUUAGAUUUUUAAUUUGGGUCCCGUUUUUUAAAUUGGUCUUCAUUGAGGUCCAAAGGGUCCAAAAUUAAACUUAGUUUGAUUUUAACAAAAAUUGAAUUCUUGGGGUUCUUUGAUAUGCUGAAUCUUAACAUGUGUUUAGAUUUUUGACUAUGGGCCCAGUUUUCAAGUUGGUCCAAGUUGGGGUCCAAAAUUAAACUUUUUUUGAUUUCAACAAAAAUUGAAUAUAUGGGGUUCUUUGAUAUGCUGAAUCUAACCAUGAAUUUAGAUUUUUUAUUUGUGGGCCCCGCUAUCAAAUUGGUUCAUAUUGAGGUCAAAAGGGUCCAAAAUUAAACUUUGUUUGAUUUCAUCAAAAAUUGAAUUAUUGGGGUUCUUUGAUAUUCCAAAUCUAACCGUGUAUUUAGAUUUUUAAUUUUAAGUCCCGUUUUUUAAAUUGGUCUACAUUAAGGUCCAAAGGGUCCAAAAUUAAACUUAGUUUGAUUUUAGCAAAAAUUGAAUUCUUGAGUUCUUUGAUAUGCUGAAUCUAAACAUGUGUUUAGAUUUUUGAUUAUGGGCCCAGUUUUCAAGUUUGUCCAAGUUGGGGUCCAAAAUUAAACUUUGUUUGAUUU